rnacentral:tRNA from 1 species
AUAAAUAUAGUUUAAUAAAAACAUUAUAUUUUCAUUAUAAAAAUAAUACGCCACUAUUUAUUUAUU